UACGUAGGGUGCGAGCGUUAAUCGGAAUUACUGGGCGUAAAGCGUGCGCAGGCGGUUUUGUAAGUCAGAUGUGAAAGCCCCGGGCUUAACCUGGGAAUGGCAUUUGGGACUGCAAGGCUUGAGUGCGGCAGAGGAGACUGGAAUUUCUGGUGUAGCAGUGAAAUGCGUAGAUAUCAGGAGGAAUACCGAUGGCGAAGGCAGGUCUCUGGGCUGACACUGACGCUCAUGCACGAAAGCGUGGGGAGCAAACAGG
rnacentral:rRNA from 1 species